UACCUGGUUGAUCCUGCCAGUAGUCAUAUGCUUGUCUCAAAGAUUAAGCCAUGCAUGUCUAAGUACAUACUGUUUAUAAAGUGAAACCGCGAAUGGCUCAUUAAAUCAGUUACGGUUCCUCGGAUAUUCUUUUUUACAUGGAUAACUGUGGUAAUUCUAGAGCUAAUACAUGAACAAGUGUUCCAACCUCAGCUUGCUGACGGAAGGAUCGCAUUUAUUAGUACAAGACCAAUGAUUCUUAUUCACCUAGAACCCUGUUCAGUGAUUUCGGUCGCUGUCUAAGGACUAGCAGUGGGGAUCUUAGCAACUUCGGUUGCAUUUCUUGUGAUGACUCUGAAUAACUGAGCAAAUCGUAUGGCCUCUGAGCCGACGAUGUAUCCCUCAAGCAACUGCCUUAUCAACUGUCGAUGGUAGGUUAUGCGCCUACCAUGGUUGUAACGGGUAACGGGGAAUUAGGGUUCGAUUCCGGAGAGGGAGCCUGAGAAACGGCUACCACAUCUAAGAAGGCAGCAGCGCGCAAAUUACACAAUCCCAGUACGGGGAUGUAGUGACGAAAAAUAACAAUACGGGACUCUAUUGAGGCCCCGUAAUUGGAAUGAGUACAAUUUAAAUCCUUUAACGAGGAUCUAUUGGAGGGCAAGUCUGGUGCCAGCAGCCGCGGUAAUUCCAGCUCCAAUAGCGUAUAUUAAAGUUGCUGCGGUUAAAAAGCUCGUAGUUGGAUUUCAGUCGAACCUAUGGGGUCCACUGAUUAAAGGGUUAGAUGGUGAUGUUAGGUUUCUUGCUUGUGUCUACGGAUGCUAGCUUGAACCUUCAUUCCUCUUUCCUGGUGGUUACAUUCAUAGUGUUUAGACAGAAAAUUGCUCGAUAUUUGCUAUCAAUGCUCUUUACCGAGUGUUGAUUCAAGCGAUCGAGACUUUUACCUUGAAAAAAUCAGAGUGCUCAAAGCAGGCGUUUAAUGGUCAAUUUUAUUAAUAAAAUAUCGAUUAAAAGUGAGUUAUCUUGUGUAUGAGUUAUCUUGAAUGAUCUUGCAUGGAAUAAUGGAAUAGGACCUUGGUUCUAUUUUGUUGGUCUUAAGAAUCCAAGGUAAUGAUUAAGAGGGACAGACGGGGGCAUUUGUAUUGCGGCGCUAGAGGUGAAAUUCUUGGACCGUCGCAAGACAAACUACAGCGAAAGCAUUUGCCAAGAAUGUUUUCAUUAAUCAAGAACGAAAGUUAGAGGUUCGAAGGCGAUCAGAUACCGCCCUAGUUCUAACCAUAAACGAUGCCACCAGCGAUCAUUCUGAGUAACUAAUUUCAUGACUCGAAUGGAAGCUUCCGGGAAACCAAAGUUUUUGGGUUCCGGGGGAAGUAUGGUUGCAAAGCUGAAACUUAAAGGAAUUGACGGAAGGGCACCACCAGGAGUGGAGCUGCGGCUUAAUUUGACUCAACACGGGAAAACUCACCCGGCCCGGACACUGAGAGGAUUGACAGAUUGAGAGCUCUUUCUUGAUUCAGUGGGUGGUGGUGCAUGGCCGUCUUAGUUGGUGGAGUGAUUUGUCUGGUUAAUUCCGAUAACGAACGAGACUCUAGCCUACUAAAUAGACUUGCAGUUUACACUGCAGUACUCCCCCUUAGUCAACCUGUGGGUGGUAGUAUCUCUUGAUGGUUUCGGCUGUUGAGGGCUCUGCUGCUAUUAGCCUACAGAAUUGGCUAGGGUAAGGAUGCUGUAGCACUGUAAGGACUUCUUAGAGGGACAAGCGGCGCUCGCAGCCGCACGAAACAGAGCAAUAACAGGUCUGUGAUGCCCUUAGAUGUCCGGGGCCGCACGCGUGCUACACUGAAGUGGUCAUCGUGCAUACUGUUUCCUGCUCCGAAAGGAGUGGGUAACCGCUUGAACCCAUUUCGUGAUGGGGAUUGGGCAUUGUAAUUAUUGCCCAUGAACGAGGAAUUCCCAGUAAGCGUGAGUCAUUAGCUUGCGUUGAUUACGUCCCUGCCCUUUGUACACACCGCCCGUCGCUACUACCGAUUGAAUGAUUUAGUGAGGACUUCGGACUGGUCAAUCCAGACCAUUGGGAAACUAGUGGUCGGAUUGUGCUGGAAAGAUGUUCAAACUUGAUCAUUUAGAGGAAGUAAAAGUCGUAACAAGGUUUCCGUAGGUGAACUGCGGAAGGAUCAUUA
rfam:Tetranychus urticae London genomic scaffold, scaffold_6